UGCAGUCGUACGCUAGCCGCUGAAUUGAUCCUUCGGGUGAAGUGAGGCAAUGACUAGAGUGGCGAACUGGUGAGUAACACGUAAGAAACCUGCCCUUUAGUGGGGGAUAACAUUUGGAAACAGAUGCUAAUACCGCGUAACAACAAAUCACACAUGUGAUCUGUUUGAAAGGUCCUUUUGGAUCGCUAGAGGAUGGUCUUGCGGCGUAUUAGCUUGUUGGUAGGGUAGAAGCCUACCAAGGCAAUGAUGCGUAGCCGAGUUGAGAGACUGGCCGGCCACAUUGGGACUGAGACACUGCCCAAACUCCUACGGGAGGCUGCAGUAGGGAAUUUUCCGCAAUGCACGAAAGUGUGACGGAGCGACGCCGCGUGUGUGAUGAAGGCUUUCGGGUCGUAAAGCACUGUUGUAAGGGAAGAAUAACUGAAUUCAGAGAAAGUUUUCAGCUUGACGGUACCUUACCAGAAAGGGAUGGCUAAAUACGUGCCAGCAGCCGCGGUAAUACGUAUGUCCCGAGCGUUAUCCGGAUUUAUUGGGCGUAAAGCGAGCGCAGACGGUUUAUUAAGUCUGAUGUGAAAUCCCGAGGCCCAACCUCGGAACUGCAUUGGAAACUGAUUUACUUGAGUGCGAUAGAGGCAAGUGGAACUCCAUGUGUAGCGGUGAAAUGCGUAGAUAUGUGGAAGAACACCAGUGGCGAAAGCGGCUUGCUAGAUCGUAACUGACGUUGAGGCUCGAAAGUAUGGGUAGCAAACGGGAUUAGAUACCCCGGUAGUCCAUACCGUAAACGAUGGGUGCUAGUUGUUAAGAGGUUUCCGCCUCCUAGUGACGUAGCAAACGCAUUAAGCACCCCGCCUGAGGAGUACGGCCGCAAGGCUAAAACUUAAAGGAAUUGACGGGGACCCGCACAAGCGGUGGAGCAUGUGGUUUAAUUCGAGAUACGCGAAAAACCUUACCAGGUCUUGACAUACCAAUGAUCGCUUUUUGUAAUGAAAGCUUUUUCUUC
rnacentral:rRNA from 1 species